rnacentral:lncRNA from 1 species
UUGGAUGAGCCAGGCUUGUUAUGUAUAUCAGGUGUGUGGGCCUCUACGUCAUGGGCCUUGGGCUGUGGUCAAGCCCCUGGCCCGGGGUGAAGGAAUCCAGCGGUCAUCAAUUGCCCCUUCACCUUUUCGGCAGUUAUUGCUCCAACUGCCGAGGGGGUGAAUACUAAGAACUAGUAUGAUCGCGUCUGUUCGGGUUCAGGUGCCUUAAUAACAUCCUUUC